rnacentral:rRNA from 1 species
UACAGAGGGGGCAAGCGUUGUUCGGAAUUACUGGGCGUAAAGGGCGCGUAGGCGGCCUGUUAAGUCGAACGUGAAAUCCCCAGGCUCAACUUGGGAACUGCGUCUGAUACUGGAUGGCUUGAAUUCGGGAGAGGGAUGCAGAAUUCCAGGUGUAGCGGUGAAAUGCGUAGAUAUCUGGAGGAAUACCGGUGGCGAAGGCGGCAUCCUGGACCGAGAUUGACACUGAUGAGCGAAAGCUAGGGGAGCAAACGGG